GAAAUGCGAUAAGUAAUGUGAAUUGCAGAAUUCAGUGAAUCAUCGAAUCUUUGAACGCACCUUGCGCUCCUUGGUAUUCCGAGGAGCAUGCCUGUUUGAGUGUCAUGGAAUUCUCAACUCUAUUUGCUUUUGUGAAUAGAGCUUGGAUUUGGAGGUUUAUUGCUGGUACUUGUGAUCGGCUCCUCUUGAAUGCAUUAGCUCGAACCUUUGCGGAUCAGCUAUCGGUGUGAUAAUUGUCUACGCCGUUGCAGUGAAGCAUAUCAAUGGGCUCGGCUUCCAAUCGUCCUUUACUGGACAAUGACUUUAACCUUUGACCUCAAAUCAGGUAGGAUUACCCGCUGAACUUAAGC
rnacentral:misc_RNA from 1 species